rnacentral:rRNA from 1 species
UACAGAGGGGGCGAGCGUUGUUCGGAAUUACUGGGCGUAAAGGGCGCGUAGGCGGGAUGGCAAGUCAGUCGUGAAAUCUCUCGGCUCAACCGAGAAACGUCGGCUGAUACUGCCGUUCUUGAGGGAUGCAGAGGAGACUGGAAUUCCCGGUGUAGCGGUGAAAUGUGUAGAGAUCGGGAGGAACACCGGUGGCGAAGGCGGGUCUCUGGGCAUCUCCUGACGCUGAGGCGCGAAAGCGUGGGGAGCAAACGGG